rnacentral:tRNA from 1 species
GACAGCUCAGAGGUUAGAGCUUAGGGCUUGUGACCGUAAGGUCCCGAAUUCGAAUCUCGCCAGAGGCA